rnacentral:misc_RNA from 1 species
GAUACCAAAACUCAACCUGGUCUGGUAGCCACUUUACCAGUUCAACGUCACAAAAGCUUUGGACUAUAAAAUGAUUCAGAGCCUGUUCCGGCGAAUCCCCUGACUAAGACAUCCUACCUCUAGGCCUUGGAAACUCCGAAAUGAAUUAAAUAUAGACUGGACCCUCAAGUCUUCAACCCCAUGAUUCCCACCGUUGUUGUUUUCUACUAGUCCUAGUCCUUUCCGUUCUCUUUCUCUCCUAUUAAUAGCUUCAACAACAUCAUCAAUCUCUUCAAUUUCGGAAUCCUCGUUUAGAUCUCUCUUUGGCUGUUUGUUUUAGUUUUUAGGUGGGACAAGCUUUCUGUAAUGGCGGAGACAUGGGUGAGAAUGGUGACUGCGCAGACACCCACUAAUAUAGCGGUGAUAAAGUACUGGGGGAAGAGGGAUGAGACCCUGAUUUUGCCUGUUAACGAUAGCAUAAGUGUUACACUAGAUCCUGCACAUCUUUGUACCACCACUACUGUGGCUGUUAGUCCUAGUUUUGUUCAGGAUCGGAUGUGGCUUAAUGGGAAGGAGAUUUCCCUUUCUGGAGGCAGGG